UCAAGGAGUGAAGUGCAUCAAAAACAGCAAGAUGUACAACCUGCAGCAGUAGCUACAUCCUCAGGCAGCAGACGGCUGAGUCCGCUCCACACCAGCUGCAGUCACCGCUACAUCGGCUGCCUCGGUGACAACACGGCACUCUAGUGAUGGAGGAGGAUGAGGAGCUGGACAGAGAGAUGUUAAAUCUGUCUCCAUCUAAAUUUGACUCUGAACUAAGGCCACCAGCAGCAUUCUCAGGGCCAUGGCUGUGUCACCAUCAACAGUCCUGUGUCCAGCACGCUGCACUAAACCUACUGCUACUGUUUCCAGACCUGCUGAGCCCGAUUACCCCGCUGUGACUUUUGCUUCUGCAAAAGGUUGUUUACUUCUCACU